rnacentral:rRNA from 1 species
UACGUAGGGCGCAAGCGUUAUCCGGAAUUACUGGGCGUAAAGUGUGCGCAGGCGGCCAUGCAAGUCGAGUGUGAAAGCCCCGGGCUUAACUUGGGAAUUGCGCUCGAAACUACGUGGCUGGAGUGUGGCAGAGGAAGGUGGAAUUCCAGGUGUAGCGGUGAAAUGCGUAGAUAUCUGGAGGAAUACCGGUGGCGAAGGCGGCAUCCUGGACCGGCAUUGACGCUGAGGAGCGAAAGCCAGGGGAGCAAACGGG